rnacentral:sRNA from 12 species
UUCAAGUGCAGGUAGAGAUACGCUGUAUACUCAUGAUAUCGAAUUAGCGUUUAAGCGAUAUGUAAUAUCGUCGAUCAUGAGGCCACCCUUGAGGUGGCAUUUUUAUUU